rnacentral:ncRNA from 1 species
UUGUUGUAUGAAAGGAAAGUAAAUCAGUACUCCUUUUGAUAAGGAUGGAAGAGCUCCUAGUGAUCAUUAUAUAUAUGUCAAGUCAAGUCAACAAGUAUUUAU